rnacentral:lncRNA from 1 species
CAAUUUUCUUUAUUUUAUGUUUUUCAAAUUAAGGAACACAUGCUGGCUAUAUGAAGGAAAAACUAAUUAUGUUCCUGCCAUUCUCUAAGCCACUGUCCCCUGCCAAGAUAACCAACAUUGCCAGCCUGGUACAUACUGUUGCUUGCAGUUCUCCAUGUGAAAUAACAGGUGCAUUGUGUGAAUUGCUGUUUGAAGGGCCCUCUUUUGAUGAAAUCCCAGGUGCUGGAGUGUUUUUGCAGAGAUGUCUUCUAGGAGUUAAAGUCCAGAUGGAGGAGGCCUUAAAUCUUGUCAUUUUGCAACACAUGUCUCAAGUCACAGACCUAGCUUGUUAGGACUCCAUGGGGCCAACCUGGGGCAAGAAUAGUUUUCUUCGGUUGUCUUUCAUCCACUCUAGAAUUCGCUAAAGGGCAGAAUAAAGCCUCUUUCUAUCUUAGUGUGAGUGACACUAGCUGCCAUGACAAAUAAAUCCAAAUAUUUAAUGCAUAGUAAAAGUCUGUUUCUCUUCUACUCCCCACCCCUGCUCCUCUCCAUUCCUCC